AUUGAACGCUGGCGGCAGGCCUAACACAUGCAAGUCGAGCGGAGCGGCGGACGGGGGCGUAAUGCCUAGGAGUCUGCCUGGUAGUGGGGGAUAACGUCCGGAAACGGGAGCUAAUACCGCAUACUAUCAGAUGAGACUAGUUCGGAUUAGCUAGAUGGUGGGGUAAAGGCAUACCAAGGCGACGAUCCGUAACUGGUCUGAGAGGAAGAGCAGUCACACGGGAACUGAGAAACGGUCCAGACUCUUACGGGAGGCAGCAGUGGGGAAUAUUGGAAAAGGGGCGAAAGCCUGAUCCAGCCAUGCCGCGUGUGUGAAGAAGGUCUUCGGAUUGUAAAGCACUUUAAGUUGGGAGGCGUUACCAACAGAAUAAGCACCGGCUAACUUCGUGCCAGCAGCCGCGGUAAUAC
rnacentral:rRNA from 1 species